GCCUCGGUAGUCUAAAGGCUUAGGACGCUCGCACGGAAUGCUAGAAAUCCGGGAGUUCGACUCCCGGCCGAGGUA
rnacentral:tRNA from 1 species